AUGGCUACCGUGUGGGCCCAGCGGGACCCUGCGAUCGGUGGGCCACGAGGAGACAGGGGUGCCACGGCACCCAGGCACUGGGGCCUGGUUUCUCCUCUCGGUUGGGGAGAUCAGGGGGAGGAUGGGCAUAGGGUAGAUGUGGGCGGGAAAAGGGAUUUGGGUUCUUGGGAGAGGGGCUUUUUGUGGUUUCAUCUGUCCCCAUCCUGCCAGGGCAGGGUGACCUUUGAAGACGUGGCCGUGUACUUCUCCUGGGAGGAAUGGGGUCUCCUUGAUGAGGCUCAGAGAUGUCUGUACCAGGAUGUGAUGCUGGAGAACUUGGCACUUAUAACCUCCUUGGGUUGUAGGCAUGGUGCGGAGGAUGAGGAGGCACCUGAGCGGAAGGUUUCCGUACAAGGCGUGUCCCAGGUCAGGACUUUCAAGGCAGUUGUGUCUCCCCAGAAGGCCCAUCCUCGUGAGGUGUGUGGCCAGGACUUGAGAGACAUUUUGCUCUCCACCGAGCACCAGGCAACACUUUGUGGACAGAAUCUCUACAAGAUUGAGGCAUGUGAGAAACAGUUGUGUUUUGAGGCAAACCUUCAGCACCAGAAGGAGCACAUUGGAGAGAAAUGCUUCAGAAGCAACACGGGCAGAGCUUCUUUUGUGAAGGACUACAAAUUGUGUGUGUCAGGGAAACCCUUUUCCUGUGGGGUGGUUGAGAGGGACAUCUUGGCCACCUCGAGAUUCUUCCAGCAGCCGGCCACACACAGCAGGGAGAAGUCAUACAGGACGACGGAGUAUGGGGCACCCUCUCGUGGAAGGAAGGCGCAACGCAACUGGGGAGAAGGCACAAAGGACUUCACUUGCAAACACACACUUGUUCACCACCAGAGAGACCUCGCUAGAGAGAGAUGCUUCAUGUGCAGUGAAUGUGGGAAAUCUUUUAGCAAAAGCUACAGCCUCAAUGACCACUGGAGAGUGCACACUGGGGAAAAGCCUUAUGAGUGUGGGGAAUGUGGGAAGUCCUUCAGGCAGAGCUCUAGCCUCAUUCAGCACCGGAGAGUUCACACUGGAGCAAGGCCUCACGAGUGUGACGAAUGUGGCAAAUUGUUUAGUAACAAGUCUAACCUCAUUAAACAUCGGAGAAUUCACACUGGGGAACGGCCGUAUGAGUGUAGUGAAUGUGGGAAGUCCUUCAGCGAAAGCUCUGCGCUCCUCCAACACCGCAGUGUUCACACUGGAGAAAGGCCUUAUGAGUGCAGUGAAUGUGGGAAAUUCUUUACCUACCACUCCAGUCUCAUAAAACACCAGAGAGUUCACUCGGGAUCGAGGCCCUAUGAGUGCAGUGAAUGUGGAAAAUCCUUUACUCAAAACUCCAGCCUCAUCGAACACCGUAGAGUUCAUAGUGGAGAAAGGCCUUAUAAGUGCAGCGAAUGUGAGAAAUCUUUUAGCCAAAGCUCCGCGCUGCUUCAACAUCGGAGAGUUCACACUGGAGAAAGGCCUUAUGAGUGCAGCGAAUGUGGGAAAUUCUUUACUUACAGUUCCAGUCUCCUCAAACACCAGAGAGUACAUACUGGAUCAAGGCCUUAUGAGUGCAGUGAAUGUGGGAAAUCCUUUACUCAAAACUCCAGUCUCAUUAAACACAGGAGAAUUCACACUGGAGAAAGACCUUACGAGUGCAGCGAAUGUGGGAAAUCCUUUAGCCACAGUUCUAGCCUCAUUAAGCACCGAAAAGUGCACACUGGAGAAAGGCCCUAUGAAUGUGAAGAAUGUGGGAAAUGGCUAACCAAAGGCUAGCCUCAUUGCUCUCCAGAGAACUCACGGUAGUGAAAGGCCUUACAGAUGCCGUGAAUAUGAGAAAGCCUUCAUCUGA